GAUGAACGCUGGCGGCGUGCCUAAUACAUGCAAGUCGAACGCUUUGUCUUUAAUUGAUAUGAAGAGCUUGCUCUGAUUUGAUUUUAUCUGACAAAGAGUGGCGAACGGGUGAGUAACACGUGGGUAACCUACCUCUUAGCAGGGGAUAACAUUUGGAAACAAGUGCUAAUACCGUAUAAUACUAACAACCGCAUGGUUGUUAGUUGAAAGAUGGUUCUGCUAUCACUAAGAGAUGGACCCGCGGUGCAUUAGCUAGUUGGUAAGGUAAUGGCUUACCAAGGCGAUGAUGCGUAGCCGAGUUGAGAGACUGAUCGGCCACAAUGGGACUGAGACACGGCCCAUACUCCUACGGGAGGCAGCAGUAGGGAAUCUUCCACAAUGGGCGCAAGCCUGAUGGAGCAACGCCGCGUGUGUGAUGAAGGGUUUCGGCUCGUAAAACACUGUUAUAAGAGAAGAACGACAUUGAGAGUAACUGUUCAGUGUGUGACGGUAUCUUAUCAGAAAGGAACGGCUAAAUACGUG
rnacentral:rRNA from 1 species